CGAGCUGGCGGCAUGCCUAUCAUGCAAGUCGAACGCUUUGAUUUCACCGGGUGCUUGCACCCACCGAAGUCAAAGAGUGGCGGACGGGUGAGUAACACGUGGGUAACCUGCCCAUAAGAGGGGGAUAACAUUCGGAAACGGAUGCUAAUACCGCAUACUUCUAAUCGCCUCCUGGCGAAUGGAGAAAAGGUGGCUUCGGCUACCGCUUAUGGAUGGACCCGCGGCGUAUUAGCUAGUUGGUGAGGUAAUGGCUCACCAAGGCGAUGAUACGUAGCCGACCUGAGAGGGUGAUCGGCCACACUGGGACUGAGACACGGCCCAGACUCCUACGGGAGGCAGCAGUAGGGAAUCUUCCGCAAUGGACGAAAGUCUGACGGAGCAAUGCCGCGUGAGUGAAGAAGGUUUUCGGAUCGUAAAACUCUGUUGUUAGAGAAGAACAAGGAUGAGAGUAACUGCUCAUCCCCUGACGGUAUCUAACCAGAAAGCCACGGCUAACUACGUGCCAGCAGCCGCGGUAAU
rnacentral:rRNA from 1 species